CCAGACUCCUACGGGAGGCAGCAGUGAGGAAUAUUGGUCAAUGGCCGAGAGGCUGAACCAGCCAAGUCGCGUGAGGGAAGACGGCCCUACGGGUUGUAAACCUCUUUUGUCGGGGAGCAAAGCGAACCACGUGUGGUUCAUUGAGAGUACCCGAAGAAAAAGCAUCGGCUAACUCCGUGCCAGCAGCCGCGGUAAUACGGAGGAUGCGAGCGUUAUCCGGAUUUAUUGGGUUUAAAGGGUGCGCAGGCGGAGGUGCAAGUCAGCGGUCAAAUUGCGGGGCUCAACCCCGUACUGCCGUUGAAACUGGCAGUCUCGAGUUGGAGAGAAGUAUGCGGAAUGCGCGGUGUAGCGGUGAAAUGCAUAGAUAUCGCGCAGAACUCCGAUUGCGAAGGCAGCAUGCCGGCUCCACACUGACGCUGAGGCACGAAAGCGCGGGGAUCGAACAGGAUUAGAUACCCCAGUA
rnacentral:rRNA from 1 species